rfam:Glycine max cultivar Williams 82 chromosome 18, whole genome shotgun sequence.
UUUUUAUUGGAUGAUAAGUGUCACAUGUCAUGUUCUGAUUGAAUGUCAACUCCAUUAAAGAUGAAAUGCAUUGUUGUUUUCAUUGACCAAUCAGAACAUGACACGUGACAAUUAUCAUCC